rnacentral:rRNA from 1 species
UACGUAGGGGGCUAGCGUUGUUCGGAAUUACUGGGCGUAAAGGGCGCGUAGGCGGCUAGUUUAGUCAGAGGUGAAAGCCCAGGGCUCAACCUUGGAACUGCCUUUGAUACUGGCUGUCUUGAGUUCGGGAGAGGUGAGUGGAAUGCCGAGUGUAGAGGUGAAAUUCGUAGAUAUUCGGCGGAACACCAGUGGCGAAGGCGACUCGCUGGGCAGAGACUGACGCUGAGGCGCGAAAGCGUGGGGAGCAAACAGG